rnacentral:rRNA from 1 species
GAUGAACGCUGGCGGCGUGCCUAAUACAUGCAAGUCGAGCGAACAGAUGAGGAGCUUGCUCCUCUGACGUUAGCGGCGGACGGGUGAGUAACACGUGGAUAACCUACCUAUAAGACUGGGAUAACUUCGGGAAACCGGAGCUAAUACCGGAUAAUAUAUUGAACCGCAUGGUUCAAUAGUGAAAGACGGUUUUGCUGGCACUUAUAGAUGGAUCCGCGCCGCAUUAGCUAGUUGGUAAGGUAACGGAUUACCAAGGCAACGAUGCGUAGCCGACCUGAGAGGGUGAGCGGCCACACUGGAAGUGAGACACGGUCCAGAGUCCUACGGGAGGCAGCAGGAGGGAAACUGGCGGAAGGGGCGAAAGCCUUACGGAGCAACGCCGCGGGAGGGAUGAAGGUCUUCGGAUCGGAAAACUCUGUUAUUAGGGAAGAACAAAUGUGUAAGUAACUAUGCACGUCUGGACGGUAACUAAUUAGAAAGCCACGGCUAACUACGUG